UACGAAGGGAGCUAGCGUUGUUCGGAAUCACUGGGCAUAAAGCGCACGUAGGCGGAUGUGUCAGUCAGGGGUGAAAUCCCGGAGCUCAACUUCGGAACUGCCUUUGAUACAGCACGUCUUGAGUCCGAUAGAGGUGGGUGGAAUUCCUAGUGUAGAGGUGAAAUUCGUAGAUAUUAGGAAGAACACCGGUGGCGAAGGCGGCCCACUGGAUCGGUACUGACGCUGAGGUGCGAAAGCGUGGGGAGCGAACAGG
rnacentral:rRNA from 1 species